GUGUCAGCCGCCGCGGUAAUACGUAGGUGGUAAGCGUUGUCCGGAUUUAUUGGGCGUAAAGGGAGCGCAGGCGGUCUUUUAAGUCUGAAUGUGAAAGCCCUCAGCUUAACUGAGGAAGAGCAUCGGAAACUGAAAGACUUGAGUGCAGAAGAGGAGAGUGGAACUCCAUGUGUAGCGGUGAAAUGCGUAGAUAUAUGGAAGAACACCAGUGGCGAAGGCAGGUCUCUGGGCCGUCACUGACGCUGAGGAGCGAAAGCGUGGGGAGCGAACAGGAUUAGAUACCCUGGUAGUCCACGCCGUAAACGGUGGAUGCUGGAUGUGGGGCCCGUUCCACGGGUUCCGUGUCGGAGCUAACGCGUUAAGCAUCCCGCCUGGGGAGUACGGCCGCAAGGCUAAAACUCAAAGGAAUUGACGG
rnacentral:rRNA from 1 species